GCUGGGGUAGCUCAGUUAGUAGAGCAACGCUCUCGUAAAGCGUAGGUCAUAAGUGCAAUUCUUAUCCCCAGCACCA
rnacentral:tRNA from 1 species